CGUCAGCUCGUGUCGUGAGAUGUUUGGUUAAGUCCUGAAACGGGCGCAACUCUUACUUUUAAAUAAAGUAUCACGUUCUAAAAAAUUUCUUCGUGAAGUUUUUUAAAUGCUUUAAAAGUACCGUCAAUGAUAAAUUGAAGGAAGGUAAGAAUGAAGUCAAGUCAAUGUGACCCUAAUGAAUUGGGCUACACAUGUGCUACAAUGAAAAUUACAAAAAGUGACAAAAAAGAAAUUUUAAGUUAAUCAACAAAAAUUUUCCCAGUUCGAAUUGUAGACUGCAACUCGUCUACAUGAAGUUGGAAUCACUAGUAAUCGCGAAUCAGAACGUCGCGGUGAACAUGUAACUUGGCCUUGUACACACCGCCCGUCACUUGCAAAGAAUCAGUUUCGCUUGAAGGUUUUAAUAAAACCCAUUGAGAGAUCGAUAAUUUGGAUGAAGUCGUAACAAGGUAGCUGUACGGGAACGUGUAGCUGGAACA
rnacentral:rRNA from 17 species